UAAAUUUGACUUACAGGAAAGGUCUAUUACAGUAACGUACCCCGUUACAGUAACAUAGCCACACCCCCUUUGCCUUUCCUCAAAAGAUUCUGAUUGGUUCUUUCAUUUGGAUGCCAUUUUGGUUCCUAUAGAUUACCGUUUGUUGUUUCUGAUGCAACUGUAAUGAUUCAUCAGUAGUUUCAAGGCAAGAGGAAUAUAUCAUGAUAAAAAUGAUGGAACAUAAAUAUACUUAAUAGGAGCCGUCAUUAGAAAAGUCAAUAAAGGAAGGCCCCAUGAAGGUGAAGGUGUUUGUUUGGGCUGGUAACGUUGCAUCCCUCAAACAAGACCGCCAGAGACCACCCAGUGCUUCGUUCCUGCUCGCUACACAUCCUCUCCUUUAAUAGUUUUUUUUUUAAUAUUAUUAUUUUUCAAGGCUUAAUGUCUUUUCCAGCAAAUUAAGAAGAGCACAGGCCUGUUUUGGAUCAGAACAACGAGGCAAAUGUUAGCAAAACACAGCUGUUAAUGGGCUUGUGCUUGGGUUUUGGACUCUGGAGCUUAUCACCUGUUCCAUCUGUUGGCUGGGGGCCCUGCUGAGGCUGACAGCAGACGUCUGGCCCACACAAGCCCAGGCAGGACCAUUAGAACCCCAGUCCAUUAUGGAGCACAUCAACAGCUCUUCCUGAUGAAGGAAGUGACACUUCCUAAUAGCUGACAAAUGAUUAAAGACAGCUAAUGAAGUGUUGAUUUAAGAAGAUGACAUCUUUUAACGGUGGGACCAUUGUUAUCUCGCAAUGAUUACAGAAGCACAGAGCAAGAAUCGUCGUGGUUCUAAGGGGAAUCUGAUACUGAGUGGCCAAAGACGCUGUGCUCAAAGGUGUCGGAGCGAGAAACCUGUUGAUUUUGGAGGAUAUCUGUCAGAAGACAGCAGAGGAAGCUGACGUCAAAGGCUAAUCCGCAUCCCAACAAGUCAGAAAUUUCAGCUGAUCUUCCCCCCUUCAGGAGCAAGAAGUGCAAGAUGCUUGAGCUCAGGCUCAAAGGAGGCUCCAACAGUGGAGAAACCUCACCGCAGACAGGAUGGAAGGCACGUCAUCGUGGCCAGUUAUUGCGUCGCCGUAGCAACAGGAAACAAAAGCAUGGCGACUGCUCAACCGAAGCAUUUUCUCCAUGAGUCACGACUAUUUCUUUUGGAGUCAUGACCCAGAAUAAAAGAUGAUGUGUGACGACCCUUUUCGCGCUUAAUGUGGUCAUUAAGUACAUUUAAAUAAAGUCUAA